CAGUAGCCGCGGUAAUACGUAGGUCCCGAGCGUUGUCCGGAUUUAUUGGGCGUAAAGCGAGCGCAGGCGGUUAGAUAAGUCCGAAGUUAAAGGCUGUGGCUUAACCAUAGUACGCUUUGGAAACUGUUUAACUUGAGUGCAAGAGGGGAGAGUGGAAUUCCAUGUGUAGCGGUGAAAUGCGUAGAUAUAUGGAGGAACACCGGUGGCGAAAGCGGCUCUCUGGCUUGUAACUGACGCUGAGGCUCGAAAGCGUGGGGCGCAAACAGGAUUAGAUACCCCCGUAGCCCUGUCUCUUAUACAC
rnacentral:rRNA from 1 species